CGAACGGGUGAGUAAUGCGUGACCAACCUGCCCCAUGCUCCAGAAUAGCUCUUGGAAACGGGUGGUAAUGCUGGAUGCUCCAACUUGACGCAUGUCUUGUUGGGAAAGUGUUUAGUGGCAUGGGAUGGGGUCGCGUCCUAUCAGCUUGUAGGCGGGGUAAUGGCCCACCUAGGCUUCGACGGGUAGCCGGCCUGAGAGGGCGGACGGCCACAUUGGGACUGAGAUACGGCCCAGACUCCUACGGGAGGCAGAGAC
rnacentral:rRNA from 1 species